rnacentral:rRNA from 1 species
UACAGAGGGGGCAAGCGUUGUUCGGAAUUACUGGGCGUAAAGGGCGCGUAGGCGGCCUGCUAAGUCGAACGUGAAAUCCCCGGGCUCAACCCGGGAACUGCGUCCGAUACUGGCAGGCUUGAAUCCGGGAGAGGGAUGCGGAAUUCCAGGUGUAGCGGUGAAAUGCGCAGAUAUCAGGAGGAACACCAAUUACGAAGGCAGCUCGCUGGGACGUUACUGACGCUGAGACGCGAAAGCGUGGGGAGCAAACA